rnacentral:rRNA from 1 species
GNCANGCGCAGCUACCAUGCAGUCGAACGAACUCUUCGGAGUUAGUGGCGGACGGGUGAGUAACACGUGGGAACGUGCCUUUUGGUUCGGAAUAACUCAGGGAAACUUGUGCUAAUACCGAAUGUGCCCUUCGGGGGAAAGAUUUAUCGCCAUUAGAGCGGCCCGCGUCUGAUUAGCUAGUUGGUGAGGUAAAAGCUCACCAAGGCGACGAUCAGUAGCUGGUCUGAGAGGAUGACCAGCCACACUGGGACUGAGACACGGCCCAGACUCCUACGGGAGGCAGCAGUGGGGAAUCUUGCGCAAUGGGCGAAAGCCUGACGCAGCCAUGCCGCGUGAAUGAUGAAGGUCUUAGGAUUGUAAAAUUCUUUCACCGGGGACGAUAAUGACGGUACCCGGAGAAGAAGCCCCGGCUAACUUCGUGCCAGCAGCCGCGGUAAUACGAAGGGGGCUAGCGUUGCUCGGAAUUACUGGGCGUAAAGGGCGCGUAGGCGGAUCGUUAAGUCAGAGGUGAAAUCCCAGGGCUCAACCCUGGAACUGCCUUUGAUACUGGCGAUCUUGAGUAUGAGAGAGGUAUGUGGAACUCCGAGUGUAGAGGUGAAAUUCGUAGAUAUUCGGAAGAACACCAGUGGCGAAGGCGACAUACUGGCUCAUUACUGACGCUGAAGCGCGAAAGCGUGGGGAGCAAACAAGGAUUAGAUACCCUGGUAGUCCA